CUACGGGAGGCACCAGUGGGGAAUAUUGCACAAUGGGCGCAAGCCUGAUGCAGCCAUGCCGCGUGUAUGAAGAAGGCCUUCGGGUUGUAAAGUACUUUCAGCGGGGAGGAAGGGAGUAAAGUUAAUACCUUUGCUCAUUGACGUUACCCGCAGAAGAAGCACCGGCUAACUCCGUGCCAGCAGCCGCGGUAAUACGGAGGGUGCAAGCGUUAAUCGGAAUUACUGGGCGUAAAGCGCACGCCGGCGGUUUGUUAAGUCAGAUGUGAAAUCCCCGGGCGCAACCUGGGAACUGCAUCUGAUACUGGCAAGCUUGAGUCUCGUAGAGGGGGGUAGAAUUCCAGGUGUAGCGGUGAAAUGCGUAGAGAUCUGGAGGAAUACCGGUGGCGAAGGCGGCCCCCUGGACGAAGACUGACGCUCAGGUGCGAAAGCGUGGGGAGCAAACAGGAUUAGAUACCCAGGUAGUC
rnacentral:rRNA from 1 species